rnacentral:rRNA from 1 species
UACGGAGGGUGCAAGCGUUAUCCGGAUUCACUGGGUUUAAAGGGCGCGUAGGUGGGCAGGUAAGUCAGUGGUGAAAUCUCUGGGCUUAACUCAGAAACUGCCAUUGAUACUAUCUGUCUUGAAUACCGUGGAGGUCAGCGGAAUAUGUCAUGUAGCGGUGAAAUGCUUAGAUAUGACAUAGAACACCAAUUGCGAAGGCAGCUGGCUACACGAAUAUUGACACUGAUGCACGAAAGCGUGGGGAUCAAACAGG